UACGGAGGAUCCAAGCGUUAUCCGGAAUCAUUGGGUUUAAAGGGUCCGUAGGUGGACUAAUCAGUCAGAGGUGAAAUCCUGCAGCUCAACUGUAGAACUGCCUUUGAUACUGUUAGUCUUGAAUUAUUGUGAAGUAGUUAGAAUAUGUAGUGUAGCGGUGAAAUGCAUAGAUAUUACAUAGAAUACCAAUUGCGAAGGCAGAUUACUAACAAUAUAUUGACACUGAUGGACGAAAGCGUGGGGAGCGAACGGG
rnacentral:rRNA from 1 species